ensembl:snRNA U1 U1 spliceosomal RNA
AUACUUACCUGAUAAGGAGACACCAUGAUCACAUUGGUAGUUUUCCCAAGGCCAGGCUUAUUCACUGCACUCUGGGGGACCUGACCCCUAGAACUUCCCCAGAUGUGGGAAACUCAACUUCUGAAUUUGUGACUGUGGGGACUGUGCUCAUGCUCUCCCUC